GGACUUAAACUGGCUUUGCAUUUACUAACUUUAAACCCAACACACUAGCGUGAAAUGUGUGCUGUCCAACCUAACAAGUAGAUGGCGUCUUUCCACAACAACAUCUCCAGCAAGGACCAUCAUCAUCAUCAUCCUCCUCAUAUCCAGGCAGCAGAAGACAGCUGAGUCACAUCUCCACGCGCUCUCAUCGCGGACGCUCACUACACGGAUCUCGCGUACGGACACGAUGAUCACGGUCACGCUGAAAACCCUGCAGCAGCAGACGUUUAAAGUGCAGAUAGACGAGGAGCUGACGGUAAAGGCUCUUAAAGAGAAGAUAGAAGAAGAAAAGGGUAAAGAUUCAUUUCCAGCUGUUGGUCAGAAACUAAUAUAUGCAGGUAAAAUAUUAAAUGAUGAUAUACCUCUAAAAGAAUACAAAAUAGAUGAGAAGAACUUUGUGGUGGUGAUGGCUUCAAAGCCUAAACCAACAUCACCUCCACAAGCUCCUCCUGCACCCCCGGUUGCAGUUAGCAUCCCUCUCCCAGAACUCCCAGUUCUUCUGCCAUCACCUCCCGUAGCUCCACCUGCAGCCUCCGCAGUGCCUGUAUCCACCCCUGCUCCUGAUCCAGUAGAACCGGCGGCAUCAAUUGAGCCACCUGCUCCGGUCGUCGCAGCGCCCCCUGUGGUCGCAGAUGUUGGUUCCGAGUCAUCUGAGCCGGCUGGUGUGACUCCGGUGCCUGUAUCUGAGGAAGCCAAUCAGGCAGCCCAAGACGAACUGGCCAUCGCCCAAUCAGUGGCCAGUAUAACAGAUGAAUUGGGUUUGCUAGAAGCAGCUGCUUCAAUUCUAGUUACAGGUCAAGCGUAUGAGAAUUUGGUGACAGAGAUCAUGUCGAUGGGUUAUGAGAGAGAACAGGUGAUCGCCGCCUUACAAGCCAGUUACAACAAUCCAGACCGAGCAGUUGAAUAUCUGCUUAUGGGUAUACCGAUAGUAGCUGAGCAGCCACCCCAAGAAAUGGUGCGACCCGCCCCUGUCUCUAACCCCACUCCUGUCUCUAACCCCGCCCCUGUGUCUAACCCCGCCCCUCCAGCACCACAGCGACCUCAGCCGCCACCUGCUGCAGCCGGCGCAGAAUCCAGAUCCGCCCCGGCAUCCGGAAACCCCCUGGAGUUCCUCAGGAACCAGCCGCAGUUCCAGCAGAUGCGACAGAUCAUCCAGGAUAACCCCGCCCUCUUACCUGCCCUGCUGCAGCAGUUGGGUCGAGACAACCCGCAACUCCUGCAGCAAAUUACGCAGCACCAGGAGCGGUUCGUGCAAAUGCUGAAUGAACCGCAUGCAGAGGAGGGAGCUGCAGAAGCUCAAAGCGUGCCACAGACGAACUACAUCCAGGUCACGCCGCAGGAGAAGGAAGCGAUCGAGAGGUUAAAAGCCCUUGGUUUUCCGGAGGGACUCGUCAUUCAAGCCUAUUUCGCCUGCGAGAAAAACGAAAACCUCGCUGCAAACUUCCUGCUCCAACAGAACUUUGACGACGAAUGAACGGUGCUACUGGACGCGACGACACUUGGAGAGCGCAAGCGUUUCGGCCGCAUGCUGCGUGUGUGUGCGCGUGAAUGUGUGUUAAGUAUAGAAAGCUGACUGGUCUUCCGUGAUGAUAAUCAUGGAGUCGCAAACAAAGCCAUGACGUAAAGUUAUGAGAGCAAGCACAGCUUUUUUGUUUUGAUAGAUCAUCCUCAGUAGCAAGGCAUCUGCUGCUGUUGUGUAUCGAGUGAGUUUUUCACAUGUCAAAGUUAAAAGCCUGCCAAAAGUCCCCCUGUGGGAAAAAUAAGGUUUUUAUUGUUGUUUAUAUGUCUAUGUAUUGUUUUUAAUAUGCUUUAAGCCAUGUGCUAAUUCAUCAUUCAAAACCAUUGCUAGUAUUAUCUUCUAAAAAUUGGAGACAGUCGCAUUGGUCUCCACGUCACAAACAUGUAACCAAUCAUAUCAACACACUUAAACGAUAGAUAAGUAGUUGAAGUUAUAGAUAUUAUGUAUGGAUGCUGCUUCUGUCUGUGAUGCUCACACCUGUUAGCAUCAACGCUAAAAUAUUAGUCCUGCAAAUGCGCAGUUCACGUAUGCAUUGCGUGAAACUGAAUUAAGCAGUUUUGUUUCUGAAUUUGUCGAAUGUAGCAUCUAUUUACAUAUAUAUCUAUGGUCUGAGGUGGUGCAAUUGAGUACUAAUUUGCAUAUUCAUAGAUCCACGUAUACAAAUUAAGGCAAGGGUGUAGACUUACAUUCAAGCUGUUUUAAAACCUAAAGAAAAUACUGAGGUAAAACUUUUAUAUAUGAUAUUAUAAUGCUCAAAGAUGAGUUUUAACUGAUAAAAUUAAUGACGACAUGGUGAUCACCCAUUUCUCACCUUUAUCUCAAACUUUAAGCCAUGUGCUAAUUCAUCAUUCAAAACCAUUGCUAGUAUUAUCUUCUAAAAAUUGGAGACAGUCCCAUUGGUUUCCACGUCACAAACAGGUAACCAAUCAUAUCAACACACUUAAACGAUAGAUAAGUAGUUAAAGUUAUAGAUAUUAUGUAUGGAUGCAGCUUCUGUCUGUGAUGCUCACACCUGUUAGCAUCAACGCUAAAAUAUUAGUGUUGCAAAUGCGCAGUUCACGUAUGCAUUGCGUGAAACUGAAUUUAGCAGUUUCGUGUCUGAAAUUCCCAAAUGUAGCAUCUAUUUACAUAUAUAUCUAUGGUCUGAGGUGGUGCGAUUGAGUACUAAUUUGCAUAUUCAUAGAUCAACGUAUACAAAUUAAGGCAAGGGCGUAGACUUACAUUCAAGCUGUUUCAAAACAUGGGAAAAAUACUGACAGGUAAAACUUUUAUAUAUGAUAUUAUAAUGCUCAAAGAUGAGUUUUAACCGUUUUAACAAAAUUAUUGACUACAGGGGGUGAUCACCCAUUUCUCACCUUUAUAUCACACUCGAGUUAUGGGUUUUUAGCUUUUUAUGAGAACAUUAUGAGAGUCAUAGUAGACAGCAUAUUUAAUUUGUCAUCAAUAAAACUAAUAUAAAAGCCUUGGGGAAUAGGUGUUCAGGCUGUUCAAUGUGUCUGUACUGUAUUUAUGUUUUUUAUUAAUUUAACCACACUAAGGUACACAACAGUACAACCCAUUGAGCAAACUGUACAUCUGUUUAUAAAAGCCACGUUCUUUACACACGUGGCCAUUAUGGUCAUACAGUUUCUAACAUUCAUGCAUGACACAAAACUAACAUCUGUUUUUUUGCAAGCUACCUACCACCCCAAGUUAAUUUAAAUAACAAUAAAAAUAAACUAGUAGAUGUUCUGCCCGGCAUGGUCAGGCUGGUAUUCAUAAAUAACCCAUGUAGUGAAGAGUUGAUGCAAAACAGAAUUUAAAGUGUGACAAUCCUACAUUUUAUUUCCAAAUUUAUUUAAAUUUUUGUUUCACUUUUGUUAAGUUCUUGUUCCCACUAAGAGAGUGAAGUUGUGGAGGAUAAACCAGUUCAGUAUGCAGUAGUAACUGAAUGAUUAAUGAUUAUGAAUGGAGCCCAAAAUGCUGCAAUAACCGUAGAGUGUUUCAGUCUUGAAAACCUCAUGAAAUAUGCAUAGUAAUGAUCUGAUUUGAAUAUAUUUACAUAUUCGUGAAGAAAGACUUGGCUUUUAUUUUGCUCAAGAUUAAGUGCCAAACUCAGUUGCAGGAGCAGGAAAAUGGGCAAAAACAAGAGUUUGUUUUAGACAUCAUAAUGUGCAAUCCUUAAAAUAUACACAGAAUAGUCUGCAUAUAUUUUUUAUAUAACUGAUUAAUCCUGGUUAUGCUGGUUUUAAGUUUAGGAGGUUCACCGAAGAACAUGAAAGCAAGAUGGCGUCCUGUUUACAGUCUUUUCAUUUCAGCAUUUUAUACGAUCAUCUCAUCUGUUGGGAUUUGAUGUGUGAAUUUAAAAUGAAUGAGUUUGGUCUUAAAAUGCAUUAAACGGUUUGCUGGAUUAUGAAUGUAUCGUUUCAGUGGCGUGUGAAAUAAAUCGCUUUUACAAAGCUGA